rnacentral:misc_RNA from 1 species
GAUGAAGAACGUAGCGAAAUGCGAUAAGUAAUGUGAAUUGCAGAAUUCAGUGAAUCAUCGAAUCUUUGAACGCACAUUGCGCCCGCCAGUAUUCUGGCGGGCAUGCCUGUUCGAGCGUCAUUUCAACCCUCAAGACCCCUUCGGGGGACUUGGUGUUGGGGACCGGCACAGGGGCCUGCCUGCUUGUCUUGCAGCGCCCUCGCCGCCCCCGAAAUGAAUUGGCGGCCUCGUCGCGGCCUCCCCUGCGUAGUAGCACGAACCUCGCAACGGGAACGUGACGGCGGCCACUGCCGUAAAACAACCCAAUUUUAUUAGAGUUGACCUCGAAUCAGGUAGGAAUACCCGCUGAACUUAAGCAUAUCAAUAAGCGGAGGA